UAAAAACAUUUCUUUUUUUAAAAAAAGUUUUCCCUGCCCAAUGAAUUUUUAAUGGCUGCAGUAUUUUGACUGCAAUAAUGUAGCAUAAUUGCUUGUAAUUUUAUUGGUUACUUGUUUGAAUGGGGUAAUGAUAGAAAUUUAGUUUUUUCUUUUUAAAAAAUUUUUAUUUUUGGUUAAAAUACUAAAAAAAGUAAAAAAGAAAAAGAGACCCUAUAAAGUUUUAUUAAAAAAAUUCUUAAUUUUUUUUAGGGUAAAAGCUUUUAGUUUUUUGACUGGGUUUUAUGAAAAAAUUACUUUAGGGAUAACAGGAAAAUAUAAAUUCUAAGUUCAAAUUAAAAUUUAUGUUUUUUACCUCGAUGUUGAAUUGGAAAAAAAAAUUUUUGCAGAAGAAUUUAUUUUUAGUCUGUUCGACUAUUAAAUUUCCACAUGAUUUGA
rnacentral:rRNA from 1 species